GACGAACGCUGGCGGCGUGCCUAAUACAUGCAAGUAGAACGCUGAAGGAGGAGCUUGCUUCUCUGGAUGAGUUGCGAACGGGUGAGUAACGCGUAGGUAACCUGCCUGGUAGCGGGGGAUAACUAUUGGAAACGAUAGCUAAUACCGCAUAAGAGUAGAUGUUGCAUGACAUUUGCUUAAAAGGUGCAAUUGCAUCACUACCAGAUGGACCUGCGUUGUAUUAGCUAGUUGGUGGGGUAACGGCUCACCAAGGCGACGAUACAUAGCCGACCUGAGAGGGUGAUCGGCCACACUGGGACUGAGACACGGCCCAGACUCCUACGGGAGGCAGCAGUAGGGAAUCUUCGGCAAUGGACGGAAGUCUGACCGAGCAACGCCGCGUGAGUGAAGAAGGUUUUCGGAUCGUAAAGCUCUGUUGUAAGAGAAGAACGAGUGUGAGAGUGGAAAGUUCACACUGUGACGGUAGCUGACCAGAAAGGGACGGCUAACUACGUG
rnacentral:rRNA from 1 species